rnacentral:rRNA from 1 species
UACAGGGGGGGCAAGCGUUGUUCGGAAUUACUGGGCGUAAAGGGCUCGUAGGUGGCCAACUAAGUCAGACGUGAAAUCCCUCAGCUUAACUGGGGAACUGCGUCUGAUACUGGAUGGCUUGAGUUUGGGAGAGGGAUGCGGAAUUCCAGGUGUAGCGGUGAAAUGCGUAGAUAUCUGGAGGAACACCGGUGGCGAGGGCGGCAUCCUGGACCAAUACUGACACUGAGGAGCGAAAGUGUGGGGAGCGAACAGG